AGGAAUUUAGUUUAAACUUAAAAAAACAUUUAAUUUGCAAUUAAAAAUUAUAAUUAAUACAAAUUAUAUUUCUUA
rnacentral:tRNA from 1 species